UACGUAGGGGGCUAGCGUUGUCCGGAAUCAUUGGGCGUAAAGAGCGUGUAGGCGGUCCGGUAAGUCCGCUGUGAAAGUCGGGGGCUCAACCCUCGAAUGCCGGUGGAUACUGUCGGGCUAGAGUGCGGAAGAGGCGAGUGGAAUUCCUGGUGUAGCGGUGAAAUGCGCAGAUAUCAGGAGGAACACCCGUGGCGAAGGCGGCUCACUGGGCAUUAUCUGACGCUGAGGCGCGAAAGUGUGGGUAGCAAACAGG
rnacentral:rRNA from 1 species